UACGGAGGGUGCAAACGUUGCUCGGAAUCGAUUGGGCGUAAAAGCGCACGUAGGCGGCUAGAUAAGUCGGGUGGUGAAAUACCCCGGGCUCAAGCCUGGGAAUUGCGUUGGAGACUGCAAGGCUAGAAUCUGGCAGAGGGGGGUAGAAUUCCACGUGUAGCAGUGAAAUGCGUAGAGAUGUGGAGGAACACCGAUGGCGAAGGCAGCCCC
rnacentral:rRNA from 1 species